UACGUAGGGGGCGAGCGUUGUCCGGAUUUAUUGGGCGUAAAGAGCGUGUAGGCGGCCAGGUAGGUCUGCUGUGAAAACUCGGAGGCUCAACCUCGAGACGUCGGCGGAAACCAUCUGGCUAGAGUCCGGAAGAGGAGAGUGGAAUUCCUGGUGUAGCGGUGAAAUGCGCAGAUAUCAGGAAGAACACCUAUGGCGAAGGCAGCUCUCUGGGACGGUACUGACGCUGAGACGCGAAAGCGUGGGGAGCGAACAGG
rnacentral:rRNA from 1 species